rnacentral:lncRNA from 1 species
CAAAUACCCAGUGGGAAACCUCUAAAGGAUAUUUAAGCCCCAGAAAAUUCUGUAACUAGCUCUCUUGAGCCACUUGCACAAUCCCACUCCUAGUCUGUGGAGUGUACUUUUGUUUCAAUAAUUCUAUGCUUUUAUUACUUCAUUCCUUCAUUUUUUUUGUGCAUUUUGUUCAAUUCUUUGUUCAAAACACCAAGAACCUGGACAACUCGUAGUCAAGAACCUCCACUGGUAACAUUACUAUAUGCUUGGCCCUGUUCUAAGGACUGGAGUGUGUAUGGUUAUUCACAGAAGCAGAAACAGGCUCAGAGACGUGAAAAAAUUUUCUCGCAUUUUCAGAGCUGGAAAGAAGUGGAACCUGGAUUUAAACACAGGCAACUCUAGAGCCUCAAGUUCCACUAUGAUCCUUAUUAGAACAUUAAAACGUCCAACACAAAGAAAUGAUACAUGUUUGAGGUGCUAGCCAAGGUUGAGCUUCCGGCAUUGACCCUAUGUCAACAAAGUUGAAAAAUAUGGAAUAUAAUGCAGAUUUCACAGCUGAAAAUGUCCUUGGGAACAGUUAUUCCAGUGUUUUCCAAAGUGAACUGUAAGGUCCCAUCACUGUGGAAUCUUAACAAGUGUUAAGUGAUAAAAGUUUUCUGUGGCCAAAUAAUGAAGGAAACAUUGGAUUAAACGUAGUUGACAGCUUU